GUCCCUGUAGCUUAAUCACGAAAGCAUAACACUGAAGAUGUUAAGAUGGUUCCUAAACCCAUGGACA
rnacentral:tRNA from 2 species